UGCAUUCACUACUGUAAGUUGCUCUGGAUAAGAGUGUCUACUAAAUGACUAAAA
rfam:Salmo salar isolate Sally breed double haploid chromosome ssa09, whole genome shotgun sequence.